GGCGGACGGGUGAGUAACACGUGGGUAACCUACCCAUCAGAGGGGGAUAACACUUGGAAACAGGUGCUAAUACCGCAUAACAGUUUAUGCCGCAUGGCAUAAGAGUGAAAGGCGCUUUCGGGUGUCGCUGAUGGAUGGACCCGCGGUGCAUUAGCUAGUUGGUGAGGUAACGGCUCACCAAGGCCACGAUGCAUAGCCGACCUGAGAGGGUGAUCGGCCACACUGGGACUGAGACACGGCCCAGACUCCUACGGGAGGCAGCAGUAGGGAAUCUUCGGCAAUGGACGAAAGUCUGACCGAGCAACGCCGCGUGAGUGAAGAAGGUUUUCGGAUCGUAAAACUCUGUUGUUAGAGAAGAACAAGGACGUUAGUAACUGAACGUCCCCUGACGGUAUCUAACCAGAAAGCCACGGCUAACUAC
rnacentral:rRNA from 1 species